rnacentral:rRNA from 1 species
GAUGAACGCUGGCGGCGUGCCUAAUACAUGCAAGUCGAGCGAACAGACGAGGAGCUUGCUCCUCUGAUGUUAGCGGCGGACGGGUGAGUAACACGUGGAUAACCUACCUAUAAGACUGGGAUAACUUCGGGAAACCGGAGCUAAUACCGGAUAAUAUUUUGAACCGCAUGGUUCAAUAGUGAAAGACGGUUUUGCUGUCACUUAUAGAUGGAUCCGCGCCGCAUUAGCUAGUUGGUAAGGUAACGGCUUACCAAGGCAACGAUGCGUAGCCGACCUGAGAGGGUGGUCGGCCACACUGGAACUGAGACACGGUCCAGACUCCUACGGGAGGCAGCAGUAGGGAAUCUUCCGCAAUGGGCGAAAGCCUGACGGAGCAACGCCGCGUGAGUGAUGAAGGUCUUCGGAUCGUAAAACUCUGUUAUUAGGGAAGAACAAAUGUGUAAGUAACUGUGCACAUCUUGACGGUACCUAAUCAGAAAGCCACGGCUAACUACGUG